GUGUGUAGUGUGUGUGUGUGUAGUGUGUAGUGUUUGUCUCAGCUUUCCCACAGACCAACAGCUGGGAGUUGACCUGUAGCGAGGUUGUCAAGACGAUGACGGAGGCUUCCCAACAUUCCAGAGAGGCGGGAAGUAAACCAUGUGCUCCUGUCAGUCAUCGAGUCAGGAAGUUAAAAAGAAGGGGAAAAAAACACACAGGAGUUUCUCAGGGAAGUUUUAUUGGGCUUUAUAAGUUGAAAUACAAAAUGCCACAUUAUGAAAAGAAAAACAGUUUCAUUAAAAUUUGCCAAGAAACAGAGUUACAUAGAAAAAAACCCAAAGCAAGGCACCGCCACAACCCAAUCGGAUUCCCCCUUUGUGCUCACGGGCCAAUAGCAGCGCGCAGCCACGAUAUUAGACUACUCAAGAGGUUCAAGACAGGCGAGUGUUUUCAUCAGUAAAGAGUUCGUGCUCCUCGUCAUCAAGAAAGACGUGUAUUACGUCACAGAAACACGUGGUCCAGAUCAUCACGUUUUUUAAAAUCUCAACCUCUGUAUCGCAACCAGUUCUCAACUAUGGUUCCAUGGUUCUAGCCAGUUCGAACCAGUUCUAAACUCUGGUUCCAUGGUUCCAGCCAGUUCUAACCAGUUCUAAACUCUGGUUCCAUGGUUCCAGCCAGUUCUAACCAGUUCUAAACUCUGGUUCCAUGGUUCCAGCCAGUUCGAACCAGUUCUAAACUCUGGUUCCAUGGUUCCAGCCAGUUCUAACCAGUUCUAAACUCUGGUUCCAUGGUUACAGCCAGUUAUUAUGAUAAACAUUAUAGCCAGUCAGUGUGACUCAGUUAGACGCUGUUGGACUCUCCAGUUUAGUAGCAGCCAGAGGAAGAGAUGGUUUAUAAACAUGAUGGCUCUGUCCCAAAUGGCGCCCUUUUCCCCUGUAAUCCUCAAAUUCAACUCUGGCCCUGGAAGACAGUUCCGCUGCUUUUAUUCAUUCUUCCCCUCGAAAUCAGGGCCUGAUUUAGACCUGGGACAACACGUGGGUGAUUCCCCUCUAAAUUAGGGCCUGAUUUAGACCUGGGACAACACGUGGGUGAUUCCCCUCUAAAUUAGGGCCUGAUUUAGACCUGGGACAACACGUGGGUGAUUCCCCUCUAAUCAGGGCCUGAUUUAGACCUGGGACAACACGUGGGUGAUUCCCCUCUAAAUUAGGGCCUGAUUUAGACCUGGGACAACACGUGGGUGAUUCCCCUCUAAAUCAGGGCCUGAUUUAGACCUGGGACAACACGUGGGUGAUUCCCCCUCUAAUCAGGGCCUGAUUUAGACCUGGGACAACACGUGGGUGAUUCCCCUCUAAAUUAGGGCCUGAUUUAGACCUGGGACAACACGUGGGUGAUUCCCCUCUAAAUCAGGGCCUGAUUUAGACCUGGGACAACACGUGGGUGAUUCCCCUCUAAUCAGGGCCUGAUUUAGACCUGGGACAACACGUGGGUGAUUCCCCUCUAAAUCAGGGCCUGAUUUAGACCUGGGACAACACGUGGGUGUAAUUAACCCUCGUAGGGAUCCAAUCUGAAUACCCGUACCCUAUACAGUGCACUACUUUUGCCCUCGCUGGUGAAAUGGGCCCUCCCUGGUCUAAAGGUCAUAAUGCCCUAUAUAGGGGAUAGGGGUUAUGGUGCUAUUUGGGAUACACCCUUUGUCUCUGAGAUGGUUAAAGAGUUCAGACAGGUCAGAAACGUCCUGUCUCUGAGAUGGUUAAGAGGUGAGAAACGUCCUGUCUCUGAGAUGGUUAAAGAGUUCAGACAGGUGAGAAGCGUCCUGUCUCUGAGAUGGUUAAAGACUUCAGACAGAUGAGAAACGUCCUGUCUCUGAGAGGGUUAAAGAGUUCAGACAGGUGAGGACGUCCUGUCUCUGAGAUGGUUAAAGAGUUCAGACAGGUGAGAAACGUCCUGUCUCUGAGAUGGUUAGAGUUCAGACAGGUGAGAAACGUCCUGUCUCUGAGAUGGUUAAGAGGUGAGGAAUGUCCUGUCUCUGAGAUGGUUAAGAGGUGAGAAACGUUCUGUCUCUGAGAUGGUUAAAGAGAUCAGACAGGUUAGAAACGUCCUGUCUCUGAGAUGGUUAAAGAGUUCACAGGUGAGAAACGUCCUGUCUCUGAGAUGGUUAAGAGGUGAGAAACGUCCUGUCUCUGAGAUGGUUAUAGAGUUCAGACAGGUGAGAAACGUCCUGUCUCUGAGAUGGUUAAAGAGUUCAGACAGGUGAGAAAUGUCCUGUCUCUGAGAUGGUUAAGAGGUGAGGAAUGUCCUGUCUCUGAGAUGGUUAAGAGGUGAGAAACGUCCUGUCUCUGAGAUGGUUAAAGAGUUCACAGGUGAGAAACGUCCUGUCUCUGAGAUGGUUAAGAGGUGAGAAACGUCCUGUCUCUGAGAUGGUUAUAGAGUUCAGACAGG